rnacentral:lncRNA from 1 species
CAGAAUACAACACUUUACAGAAUUUGUCUUGACUGAAUACAAGAUUUCAAGGAUUUGGCACUCUGCAACCACCAAUAAAGCUGAAUUUCUGGGUGAAAUUAUAUUAUCCAGCUAGCCCAGCGAGGAGAACAUCCACGCUCAAGGCAGUAAAACCUACCGGCAAAGAGAAAAUAAGAGACCACCACCACUAACACAUUGAACUGGAACUCAGGACAGCCGGAUGCAAUUCUACACUAAAAGUUUUCUGUGUAACGUUACUCAUUUGAUAUUUUUGUGCCUCAGGUGAAUAAGCUGAAUACAGCAAUACUUCCAUCUCCUCUUUCCUCCAAAAAAGGCAGGAAGCUUCCUGAGAGGCAAUUCUCCAGCCCCAAACACCCAUUGGUUUUCUUACUGUCCUACAAAGGUUAAAAAACAAAAAGGGGCUAAUGAAGGAGUGACUACUGAGUGGAUUAAAAAGGACUGAAGACCUUAUGUACAACCACAGCUGAUUCCCCAACUGUUGACACCACAGAAAAGCUUUCCCAACUGCUGAAAAUGCUCAACGAAGACAGAGUUUCUAUAAACCAUGAUGUGCACUGGCAUUCAAGCACUGAGUAUUGGCUACAGACUGUGGG